rnacentral:lncRNA from 1 species
AUUAACGAAGUGAUUGAUAUAUAUAGAGGCCCUUCGUGCCAGACCAUGGAGUAGCACUAAGCGUCCAUGUAUGCUUAGGUUUGUCGACCUGUUUAGAGGCUAUGCUUCUCAUCUACUUCCUCCGUUACAAAAUAAAUGUCGAUGUUUUAGUAUAAAACUUGUAUUAACUUAAUACUAAAUUUAUGUCACUUAUUUUAGGAUAGAAGGACUACAAAUCAGUGAGCAGCUGCGUGCAUUCCUGCCUAGAUGCAUGAUUGAACUUUGCAAAUCCAAAGGUGACUUCGCUUGCAAUCACCUGUGUUGCUUCACUGAUGACCAGAAUCCAGCAUUGUAUCUGAACUUUACGGCCAUUGCUAGGCAACUUCCGUGAGCAAAAUGACUACUGGAUCCCUCACCAGUAUAAAAAAAAAAA